rnacentral:rRNA from 1 species
AUUGAACGCUGGCGGCAUGCUUUACACAUGCAAGUCGAACGGCAGCGGGGAGGAGCUUGCUUCUCUGCCGGCGAGUGGCGCACGGGUGAGUAAUACAUCGGAACGUGUCGAGAAGAGGGGGAUAACCACCCGAAAGGGUGGCUAAUACCGCAUAAAUUCUGAGGAAGAAAGCUGGGGACCUAGUAAUAGGCCUAGCGCUUUUUGAGCGGCCGAUGUCGGAUUAGCUAGUUGGUGAGGUAAAGGCUCACCAAGGCGAAGAUCUGUAGCGGGUCUGAGAGGAUGAUCCGCCACACUGGGACUGAGACACGGCCCAGACUCCUACGGGAGGCAGCAGUGGGGAAUUUUGGACAAUGGGGGCAACCCUGAUCCAGCCAUGCCGCGUGUAUGAAGAAGGCCUUAGGGUUGUAAAGUACUUUUGUUAGGGAAGAAAAGUCAGCUGUGAAUAAUGGCUGAUACUGACGGUACCUAAAGAAUAAGCACCGGCUAACUACGUG